rnacentral:tRNA from 1 species
GGAAAGGAACUCUAGUUGGCUUCUAACCUUCUUUUGCUAAAUCAAGCCCUUUCCC